rnacentral:rRNA from 1 species
AUUGAACGCUGGCGGCAUGCCUUACACAUGCAAGUCGAACGGUAACGGGUCCUUCGGGAUGCCGACGAGUGGCGAACGGGUGAGUAAUAUAUCGGAACGUGCCCAGUAGUGGGGGAUGACUGCUCGAAAGAGCAGCUAAUACCGCAUACGACCUGAGGGUGAAAGGGGGGGAUCGCAAGACCUCUCGCUAUUGGAGCGGCCGAUAUCAGAUUAGGUAGUUGGUGGGAUAAAAGCUUACCAAGCCGACGAUCUGUAGCUGGUCUGAGAGGACGAUCAGCCACACUGGGACUGAGACACGGCCCAGACUCCUACGGGAGGCAGCAGUGGGGAAUUUUGGACAAUGGGCGAAAGCCUGAUCCAGCAAUGCCGCGUGCAGGAUGAAGGCCUUCGGGUUGUAAACUGCUUUUGUACGGAACGAAAAGCCCCGGGUUAAUACCCUGGGGUCAUGACGGUACCGUAAGAAUAAGCACCGGCUAACUACGUGCCAGCCGCCGCAGUAA